rnacentral:misc_RNA from 1 species
GAGCAUUUACUAGGCUGUGAAGGUAGCAAAACAAGUUAUCUGAUGAUCUUACAAGGUUGAAAAUAAAAUAACUCUGUUUACACAAAAGAUUUCCUUUGUGUUGAUGUUCUAUCAAAAAGACAUAAGAUACAUGAUUUUCCAUGUGUACAGAGCUAUAUUGCUCGGACUCUUCAAUAAGAUCGAUGAGUGUGUGUCGGAUCCAGCACGAGUACAGCAACAUUUUUGGAGAGUUCGAGUAACAUAGGUACAAGGACCUUAUAUGUUGGGUUUCAUUAAUCGUAAGGUAUUUGGAUAUAAGCUGCAUCACACACAAAUGGAAUGUCAGCAUACAUCCCAGCAAGUGCACAUCUUAUGGACUCUAAAACUGUGAACAGAUAGGCAAACGCGACAGCGGUCCAAAAAUGCAUGCCAACCUUGCCCCAAUAUACCGCGAGUGGCAUCCAACGGCUUACAGUCCCGAUAACCUGCAAGGCAAUCUCGAGUAGCAUCCCCAUUACCACAUGGAACCUAAAGAAAUGAGGCCAUUCCUUUCUCCUCACUACACCGAGAUAAGCAACAAAGAAGUACGCCAUUAGAAACCAGCCCGGUAAUCUCCCAAUAGCUCUGAGAAAAGGGUAUGUCAGAAACUCAAAAUCUUCCAAGAAGGGGUGGAGAUGAUAUGCUGUUUCAGCAUACAUCCAAGUCUCGUGAAGUGGCAUCAAGUAAGGGAGGCAUGCUAAGGUUCUCCACCACCACCUCGGCUUUUUGGUCAUCGGAGGGAAUCUGUAACUAUAGGGGACAUCCUUCGAUGCUCUAGGGGUCAUGGACAAUUGGCUUCGCCUUGGUAACUGGGGUAUUGCAUUAGAAAGACCGCCAUAUUCACCAGUUGAAAGAAGUGAUGAUGCAGAAGAAAGAUCAAGGAAGUUGAAUCCUUUGGAGCAGGAUGUUGGAUACUGAUGAGGUGCUGGUGAACGUCUAACACAUGCGACUAAAAACUUGGAAGGCGGCAGGGGGUUGCAUGACGAUGCAGAUCCAUAGGACUUGGAGCUACAUGACUUGUAAGGUUUACAAAUACCCCCAGACCUCAAGGAAUAUCCAUUUAGGAUCAUAUUCAAGCCCUUUGACAAGAUCUGAACAAUACGAGGAAUCCGACGCUGCCGGAGCACCGACCACCACCGGAAAAGGUCGCCGUAUCAACGGCGACUGAGAAGCGAAGCGAGCAGAAGUGGAAGGAAGGAAGAAA